rnacentral:tRNA from 1 species
UUAUUACUUUGGCAGACUAGUGUGGUAAAUUUAGAAUUUAUUUAUGUAAAUUUUUUUACAGGUAAUAUUGUAU